rnacentral:rRNA from 1 species
AUUGAACGCUGGCGGCAGGCCUAACACAUGCAAGUCGAGCGGAUGAAGGGAGCUUGCUCCUGGAUUCAGCGGCGGACGGGUGAGUAAUGCCUAGGAAUCUGCCUGGUAGUGGGGGAUAACGUCCGGAAACGGGCGCUAAUACCGCAUACGUCCUGAGGGAGAAAGUGGGGGAUCUUCGGACCUCACGCUAUCAGAUGAGCCUAGGUCGGAUUAGCUAGUUGGUGGGGUAAAGGCCUACCAAGGCGACGAUCCGUAACUGGUCUGAGAGGAGGAUGAGUCACAGAGGAAGUGAAAGCCAGUCCCGGGCCUGAGGGGAGGCACAGGGGGGGAAUUUAGGAAAAGGGGGGAAAUCCUGAACCAGCCGUGCCGGGGUUAUGAAGAAGUUCUUCGGGUGGUAAACCUCUUUAAGUUGGGGAAAAGGGCGGUAAGUUAAACCCUGGGUGUUUGACGGUAACCAGUAAAAAAAGCCCCGGCAACCUUGUG